ACGGUCUGAGAGGAGGACUAAGGCGCGAGCGCAGAUGUGGUGGUUCAUCAUCACAGAGAAGCAUUUGAAUUUUAUCUUUUUUUCAAAACUGAACUGCUUUCCCACUACUUUCAACUUGAAACAAACUUUGGCCGGCUAGCUGUGCUGCUAUGGAAGUCUUUUGUAUCCAUCUCACUCAGUGGGAAACAGCAGGAUCAAACUUCUCUGCAAAAGGUAAGAUAUAAGAUCAUGGGAAAGGAACAUUAAGGAAUAAUGUGUAGAAUCAGACUGAAAUGCAGAAAGCAUUCUGUAUUAGUUGAUAGCUGAAGCUAUCAAAUUAUCAUCUGAGAUGCUUUAAAUACGAAUAUGCAAAACAAAAGGAAGCAUUUGGGUGUACAAACACUAGCUGUAGCCUGCCUGACUGCACUUCAUAAGGCAUGCAAAUAAACAAUUUUUCUGAAAAUUUACUAAGAUUUCA
rnacentral:lncRNA from 1 species